GAGUGAAAAGUGUUCUACAACACAACCACAUUUCACAACAGUCCUCAAGAGUGUGAAUUUCUACAAGGGAAAAAGAAAUCAAAAUCAGUGCCUUUCAGGGUGUCUUUGUAGACUACAGAUGAAAAAGCUGCACUUGGAAAAUAUUUAACAGAACCCAUUACCAUUCACUCUUUUGAAAGGGUAACAAUUAACACUGUAUUAUGAUUCCUGGAUUAAGAACCUUUUACAUCUUGGCCUUUAAUGAAUGCUGCAGUAUCUCUGUG